CGCAGGAAUCAUGAUCUCCUUUCAUUGUGGAGUAAACUUGGGAUCUCUGGGAACAUUUCUGAGCCUUCAGACCUUCUAGUCCUACUGAGAAGCCAGGUCCAUUUGAAAAUUUGCACAGUUUGCGCAAACGAACACGCUCCUGGGACGGUUUGAGGGCUAGUCCAGCAAGAGUGUUAAAAAGCCACCACGUGCGGGGCCACUCCCUGUCUCACCUCCUCCUGGGUGCCUUCCUUGGUUGGACAUCCAUUCCUCCCCUCUUCCCCACUCUGUAAGACCUGAGGUGUUCCCAUCUCUGGAGUUUACCUGUGUUUUCUCAUGAAUGACUCCCGAACACAUACGCUUUCAAAACUCAAAGGAAUUUUCUUCCAGUGCUUAAAUGGAGCCAGGAAUUUCUAUGUGGACUGGUUGGGCAGAUGGGUCUAUUUUGCCUUACUUAAAUAGCCAAGCCAGUGGUUGGCCUGGCUCUAAGUCCAGCGGGUGCCCCCUUCCUUGGUGCGUGUUUGGGGUGAUGCAGGUGCCUCUCCAGCCAAGGCCAGAGUGUGACUUAAGGGGGUGUGAUUAUGUGUCUGCUGCAAGUGGAAGCUGAGCUGGGCCCUUCGUGCUGUCUCUCUGCCACUUCCUCCUAGCCCCAGAGCUAUAUGUACUAGCUAGCAGAUUUUUAAAAAGACAGCUCUCUAUGCUUUCAGAGCCAUGCCCUCUCCUCCCAGGCUUCGAUUUCAUAAACGCUGGUUCCUCCAGAGAAGCGACCAGAGCCUCUAACCACGUGUGUGCUUUUCAAUAACCUUCUGACUCCCAGCGUGGCCCAGCCAAUGAGGACAGAGCAGUGACCCUUAGAUAAAAGGCUUCAUUUAGCAUGACUCAUCCUUGGAGCCAUCCCGCCUGCUCGGCCUGUGUUGUUAAGUGCCUGGUUUUGUAAAUAUUGACAGUUAGAAACCAUCCCAGGAACUACCAAGCAGUGAUCUGGAAGGUAAUGUAUAUGAAUAUGACCAGUGAUUAGGCAAUACUUGUCAUUUGCUAAGAUUCAGCCACUGAUAAAAAUCACCCCAUUAUCUUUCUUCCUAAUAGCGGCUCGUUUGCUUGUCUGUGACUCAUCGCUGAUAUAUUACAAGGUCUGAUUCAGCAAGGAAAGUGUGGUCUGCUGCAACAGAGGACAACAUCCAAGGCCACCUCGGGUUUUAGGAUACUUGUUUCUUAACAAGCGUGGCUAGUUAAGAAGGAAAAGGUCAAAAGUCCCCAUCGCUAAGAAACUGAAGGGGGUUUGGAGGGAUAAAGAGCAGAGCGGUGCUUCUCACUGUUCUGA